GGGAAGCUUAUGCGAUCUGGGGUCAGGCAUGUCCAUUCCUCCCACAUGAAAAAAGCCUGAGGAUCUGGCUUUGUAUAGAUAGAAUGGAGCGAAAUCUUUUAGUAUAAAAAGAUAGCUACUUAGUUUCUCCUUAUAUGGGAUGGAUGCCUGUAAGUAUCAGUGGCCUAGCUAGCUAGGUCUCCUGUGUACUUCUCUCAGGAGUUGUCAUUCUGGUCUUGAUAAAUUAGGAUGUUCUUCUGCAACUGCAUCUUUGAUUGCUCUCUCUUUCUACUCUUCAACCAUAGGCAUGUUUUCUCUUCCCCUUAGAUGGGACUCGUCAAAGAUCUUGCUAUCAAUUCUUAUUGGUUUGCUGUGAUCCACACAAGCUAAGUGGCUCUGAUGGCCUUCUUUAUAGAUAUCUUGUAGUUUUUGAAAUAAUUUUCCUCUUCUGAUUUUUUUUCUGUUAAAUCAGGUGGAUGGGUCUUAAUUAGCUUCUGUAGUUCCUAUAAUGAUAUUCAUAAGAUGGGUUGGUUCUUUUUCGCUUUUCCUCCAACUUUAUAGAGUCUAGCUAGUACUUCAUCCAUGGGUUAAUUGUCUUCCCUUUAGGGUUAGGGUUUCUGCUUUUAUCUGCAAAUUUGCAUGGGGAGAUCUCAAGACCGUCAUGAUCAUCAGUCAGUAGUGAGUCGGUAUUCGCAGGUGCGGCAUCAUCAAGAUUCACAUACUUUAGUGAGGGGUCUACCUUUAUCGAUCGAGUUAAUUGGUACUACUAACACCACCAAUUGAUUUUUGUACUCGAACUUCCUUUAGUACUCGAAAGGUAGUUCCUUUGAACUUUGAAGUGGGAAUCUUGAUGAUGCUGCAUCAGCAAGUACAUGACUAUUUGGAACCGGCGCCAAUUCUCCGAUUCAAACAUGACAGAUAAUGACCAUUCAUCAUCAUGUUGAUUCUUACUUCAGUCGUAUAUUCAGAUUCACAAUCUGACAUCAAGCAUCUCGUCGGCAAUAUAUAAGUUUGGUAAGAGAAUAUUACCCUUAUUGUUAUAGGUUGUUUACUUUAGCCCUUAUUGCUUAAGUGGUGCUAGUGCUACCUUGAUUCAAAAGACUGGUAUUACAUGAGAUGAUAUGACCCAACAAAGCACCAUCUUUGCUCAGUUAUUUGCUGUAUGUAUUAAUUUUCUAUGCAUUUUAACACCACCCAAAAACAGUCAGAGCACCUGAUGGAUCUUCUGAUUGGCCACCAGAAAUGCAAGAGGCCAAGGUAAUAUUUUAUGAUAAAUACUGCUUCAUAUAUAUAUAUUUCGAUGAUUGUCAUUCUCUUCAGCUUUUAUUCUCUUGAGGGAUUAAGGUUAAUUAUGCAUGAAAUCCAUGGUUUUUGUUUACAAAUUUUUCUUAACCGACCGACUUCAUAUAUACUUCACUGUCUUUUUUUUAAUCCUUAUUUUUGUCAAAUUGAGGCUUAUCAUUUUGCUGUUAUCAUAUAUUCUUCUGUAGUUUAGGAAUUGGAGCUCUGAUGUUUGUUUGAUUCUCUUUGCUCUUUAUUGAUAAUGGGCCGGGUUACCCAAGAAUGUCAGGAAUCUGAUAUUUUAUGUUUUACAUCGGAAUCAGCUUUUAGUUUUAAGUCUGUCCUGUCGUAUGUGGAUUCAUGACAUAUGCUUAAUAAUAAUAAUAUAUAUAUAUAUAUAUAUAUGUGUGUGUGUGUGUGUGUUGUAUUAUUACUUGUGAAAGCUUUGAAUGACCAAAUUACAGCAGAUCAUUAAUUUUGUGAUCCAAUUGCAACACGUUUUCUAAGCGCUAAAAUGCUGUUUUCUGGCUUGGUUGGAAGGAAAAUAACAACUUUUGCUAAAGAAAACAGAGUAACUUUUCAUCAUCUCAAACAGAAGCAUUAAUUGGUGUACCUCGGACUAGUAGGAAGCUAGUUGAGCCUUCACUUUUACAGAAGGUGAAAACUGACUUUAUGUUUUUUUUUAUUUUUUUUAAAUUUAUUUAUUAUCAGUAUAAGGAUAUGCAAUGGAUGGUACUAGCCAAUCACUUUCUUUGAAGCAAUUAUAGCCCUUUUAUAUCUAUGUUUUUAAGUGGUCAGUCUAAGGUUGAUAUACAUUGUUGGCUCAUUUCUUGAUAGCUUAAAAUUUUAGAGCGAGUGUCUAACAUGAUACCAUAGUCUUGUUUACAAGUGGUGUUGAGUUCGAUCCUUGUUUCCAACUUCUUUGUUGUUUUGCAAGAGUGUUAGUUUGAUACACAUAGUUGACUUAUUCUCUAAUAGUUUAAUCUUUUGAAUCGAGUGAUUGUCUAAUGUACAAUUAAUAAUAUAAGUUCCCUCUUCAUCAUUUUUUGGCCGCAAAACAUUCUUAUUUAGAUGGAUAUAUGCACUUGACUUACUUUGAUGCUAUCUUACACUACUUAAAGUUGAAGGAGUUCUUCAAAAGUUGAUAUUCAGCUUAGUAUAUAAGGAGUUCUUCAAAAGUUGAUACCUUAUUAAGCAAUAAGGAGUUUGUGCAUGGGAAUAACUUUUUACAGCAAUGCCCAAGUUCCAACUGUCUAUGAAUUCUUUGGCCUGCGUUGUGGAAAAGAAUAAAGAAACAAGCUUAAUUGGCAUUGCUGCCAUUGACAGCAUUUUGAAUCUUUCGUUAGUUAAUUGUAAUAGAUUAAAUAUUGUUUUCCUCUCAAAUCUUGUUGUUAACUUCAAGCUUCAACUUUGGAUUAUGUAGUCAUACUCAUUCGCCUUCAAGAAUCAGAUAGAUGCUGCUAGACAAACAUAUGCAUUAUUAUCUAAAUGUUCAUGCUUAUGGCAGUGAGUGAGGACUAAGUCAAUUUAAUUUUAUAUCAUACUUUGCCACAAAAUUACUCUAAA